CCCGCUCAGAAACUCAAAGGAAUUGACGGGGGCCCGCACAAGCAGCGGAGCGUGUGGGUUUAAUUCGAUGCAACGCGAAGAACCUUACCAAGGCUUGACAUGCCAGAAGUAGGAACUCGAAAGAGAGACCACCUGUAUCCAGUCAGGAACUGGCACAGGUGCUGCAUGGCUGUCGUCAGCUCGUGCCGUGAGGUGUUAGGUUAAGUCCUGCAACGAGCGCAACCCUCGUCGCUAGUUAAAUUUUCUAGCGAUACUGCCCGUAAAACGAGGAGGAAGGUGGGGAUGACGUCAAGUCAGCAUGGCCCUUACGCCUUGGGCUACACACACGCUACAAUGGGUGAUACAACGGGUUGCGAGAGAGCGAUCUGGAGCUAAUCCCUAAAAUCAUCCUCAGUUCGGAUUGCAGGCUGAAACUGCCUGCAUGAAGUUGGAGUUGCUAGUAACCGCAGGUCAGCACACUGCGGUGAAUACGUUCUCGGGCCUU
rnacentral:rRNA from 1 species